AGUAACGCGUGAGCAACCUGCCUAUGACAGUGGGAUAGCCUCGGAAACCGGGAUUAAUACCGCAUAAAAUCGUAGAAACACAUGUUUCAACGGUCAAAGAUUUAUCGGUCAUAGAUGGGCUCGCGUCUGAUUAGCUAGUUGGUGAGAUAACAGCCCACCAAGGCGACGAUCAGUAGCCGGUCUGAGAGGAUGAACGGCCACAUUGGAACUGAGACACGGUCCAAACUCCUACGGGAGGCAGCAGCU
rnacentral:rRNA from 1 species